GUCCACGUCCACGCCAACCCGAACGCGCCCGAUCUCGUCUGAUCUCGGAAGCUAAGCAGGGUCGGGCCUGGUGAGUACUUGGAAGGGAGACCUUGGGAAGCGGGAGGUAAAGGCC
ensembl:rRNA 5S_rRNA 5S ribosomal RNA